rnacentral:rRNA from 1 species
GAUGAAUGCUGGCGGCGUGCCUAAUACAUGCAAGUCGAGCGGCAGCGCGAGUAGUUUACUACUUGGCGGCGAGCGGCGGACGGCUGAGUAACGCGUGGGAACGUGCCCCAAAGUGAGGGAUAAGCACCAGAAAUGGUGUCUAAUACCGCAUAUGGUCUUCGGAUUAAAGGAUUUAUCCGCUUUGGGAGCGGCCCGCGUUUGAUUAGAUUGUUGGUGAGGUAAUGGCUCACCAAGUCGACGAUCAAUAGCUGGUCUGAGAGGAUGAUCAGCCAGACUGGAACUGAGACACGGUCCAGACUCCUACGGGAGGCAGCAGUAAGGAAUCUUCCACAAUGGGCGAAAGCCUGAUGGAGCAACGCCGCGUGAAGGAUGAAGGCCCUCGGGUCGUAAACUUCUUUUAUAAGUGAAGAAUAUGACGGUAACUUAUGAAUAAGCACCGGCUAACUACGUGCCAGCCGCCGCCGUAACAC